rfam:Erwinia carotovora subsp. atroseptica SCRI1043, complete genome
GUUCACUGCCGUGUAGGUAGCUUAGAAA